GGAGGUGUAGCAUAAAUGGUAAAGCACCUGCUUAGCAAGCACAAAGCCUGAAUUCAAACUCCAACACCACCU
rnacentral:tRNA from 1 species